UUCCGGCCGCGCCGUGCCCGCGGAGCGGGGUGCUCGAGGCGGUUUCCGGGGACUGGGCGUCCUGGAUCCCUCUGGGACCGAAGGUCUUAAAGACUGACAGUUUCCAGAGAAAGGCGGCUCUUAGUCGCAGGCUCCCGUCGCGAAAGUAAAGGGAUCCAUGCAAACCGAGGCCCGGAAGAGACAGCCUGGCGGCUACGGGCUGCCGCGAGGUCCAAGCCCCGUGGUUAGGCGUUCCUGCUCGGGGCGGAAUUCUCGCCCGGCGGUCCGGAGCCCGCGGCGGCGUCCCUGAGCCAGCUUUCGGUGUGGCCUGUGCGGUGUGCGGGGAUGAGAGCUCGGAACGGGGGUUGAUGGAGGAGCGGGAGUGGCAGUGAAACGACCGAGCCAGAAAGCACGUGGGGAGAGGGGACAGCGCCAUUGGAGGCCUGAUUUCUGAUCCGCUGAACCGGUGGUUUCUCCCUGAGGGACCUGGAAACCAGCAUCCCAGCGACGCCUUGCAGAUGCUGAGUCCUAAGGUUUUCGAAGCCUCCUCCUGAAACUUAGAUAAGAGUCAUGGCUUCCCAUUCACGGGAGGGGCAGGGAUAUGAUUCUGGGGCAACCGCCUUGGGAACAGAAUCACUUGCAUUGCUAUCAAUUCUCCAAAAGCUACAAUAUAAAGAGGUUGAAGCAAAGAAAAAAAAAAAAUCCGGAGAACCGGAUAACCCAAGGGCGUGCAAGACAACGCCUCUUUCUGCAUUGAGGACACCCAAUAAUCUUAACUCAUUUCAAAGUAUUUCACACGAAAAUGAAGAGUAGAGGUGCUGCUGACCCAACAAAGCAAAACCAAAGUCCCCGCCUGUCAGGGAGCGCAGAGACUCAUCAAACAGGUAAAUAAGAAUACAGUCAACUUACAAGGACGACUGCUGUGCUCCCGUCGAGGAAAAGACGUAAACAGGGAGCCAGGGCACCUGGGCAUCGACCUGGCCUGGGGUCGCAGGGGAGGGCUUCCUCUACGACGUGAUUUUGGGAAGGACACGUGGGUAUUUGAUGAGGAAAGGAAAGGCGGGCGGGAGUGGAGAAAGAGCUCGAAGCAGAGCUAGGUGUGGAGGCGCUGGCUGGAGAGCAGCAGGGACUGGUGGAGUUUCUGCGAGGAGCCCUGUGCAGAGAGCACGGCAUGGGGAUGCGGCUUGGGACCUGGCUGCGGAGCUCGGGAGGGGCCGGUUCUUAACAACCAAGGAGGGAUUCUGGCCAAAUCUGAGGGCCGUAGCGGCCACUGGAGGGUUUGAUCACAUUUGUGGUUUGUAAAGGUCACUCCGGCUGCUCAUUGGCAAAGAGACCGGCAAAAGGCAAGGACAAAUGCAGGGAAAUGUCCACUAAUGAAUGCUGAUGGAAGAAUCACAUGGCAGCAGUCGACAUUCUGCAACCACCAGGGCAUCGCCCUUGAUGGAUGGUGAGCCACUGGGGGAAAGUUCACGGGAAAAUAGAAGUAGUACAUUUAGAUAUCUAAGUAGUCUCGAAGCUUCUUCCCCACAGAUUGCUAAUUCCUCACAAAGGGAGAAUAAAAUAUAUUUAGGACGUUCUCUUGUCCCGCAGCUAGUUACGGAUCCAGUGUUGUCGCUGCAGCAGCUUGAGUCGCUGCUGUGGCUCAGGUUUGAUCCCUGGCCCAGGAACUUCAGCAUGCUGCGGAUAAGGCCAAAAAAACAACAGGAGUCCCCAGUCGUGGCUCCGUGGUAACGAACCUGACUAGCAUCCAUGAGGAUGUGGGUUCGAUCCCUGGCCUUGCUCACUGGGUUAAGGAUCAGGCAUUCCUGUGAGCUGCGGUGUAGGUCGCAGACUUGGCUCGGAUUCCGUGUUGCUGUAGCUGUGGUGUAGGUCGGCAGCUGCAACUGUGAUUCAACCCCUAACCUGGGAACCUUAUGCCACGGCCCUGGGGGAAAAACAAAACAAAACAAAACAAAAAAAAUACCAACAAAAGCCUUUCCGAUGGAGAAAUCUAUUACCAUUUCAAUCUUGGGUCAAACACCAAAUAUCAGCAAUAAUGAGACAAACUGAUGUUUGUGCAUCCUGGUAGGAUGCCCUGAGGACACACAUCAUUUAUGCAGCACUGCUGCCAAAAAUGUGUUCCCUGACUCCGUGUAGGGGCAGUCAGAACAAUGUACCCUGAGAGGCGUUCACACAGCGCGCAGCCUCUACUCUCAAUGCCAGAGUCCCGGAGGACAAAGGAAAGCUGAGAACCCUUCCAGAUUCAAGGCAUUUAAUGGAAUCCUUUAACGGACUCUGCCUCGAAAAUGGAAGGAGGGGCCCCAAGCCGAAGAAGGCAGGCAGCCUCCAGAAGCUGGAAAAGGCCAGGAAAUCUUCCAGAGGCUCCGGGAGGAACCAGCCCUGCUGACAGCUCAGUUUUAGGAACUGGCCUCCUGAACUGUAAGGCAAUAAACUUGUAUUGUUUGAAGCUACUGCGUCUGCAGUAAUAUGUUACAAAGGGGCCAGGGAAAAGGGACGUGGUGGACAACCAGAAACAGACCCGACGCCGAGCCCCGCCACCUGCUUUAUCUCAUAUAAUAGUUUUUUUUUUUAUUGAUCUUCUAAUCAAAGUAUUUUGCAUAUUGAUUCAGCCAUCAAAUAAAUAUAGUACUUCUCCC
rnacentral:lncRNA from 1 species